rnacentral:rRNA from 1 species
UACGGAGGGAGCUAGCGUUGUUCGGAAAUACUGGGCAUAAAGCGCACGUAGGCGGCGCAGCAAGUCAGGGGUGAAAAUCCCGGGGCUCAACCCCGGAACUGCCCUUGAAACUGCAGUGCUAGAAUUCUGGAGAGGCGAGUGGAAUUCCGAGUGUAGAGGUGAAAUUCGUAGAUAUUACGGAAGAACACCAGUGGCGAAGGCGACUCGCUGGACAGACAUUGACGCUGAGGUGCGAAAGCGUGGGGAGCAAACAGGGAUUAAGAA